UCCGCCAUGGUGUAGUGGCUAGCAUUUCAGACUCUCAUUCAAGCUUCGGCUUGGGAACUCUGAGAACCCGGGUUCAAUUCCCGGUGGCGGAA